UAUUGUGAAAGGCAAACCAAUUGAAAGAUUGGGACGCAAAGCCUCCGGUCUAAGGGUCGUUUGUACCUAUGAUAGCGGGGAUACCGCA
rfam:Shewanella sp. MR-7, complete genome.